GAUAUUCAGUCGUGUGCGAUUAUCAAGCGUUAUCGGGACCAGCUUACCCGUAAAAUACUGGAGAUAUAGCUAGAUUUGGGGGCGUAUGCGUGAGUAGGCCUUCGGUUGCCCUCUCAGAAAAGUGGCCGCUGGUGGCAGCGGCAUUCCUGGAGGGCACUUUUCCAAGUAUGUUUCUAGUGUAGCCAUUUGAAUUGCCAAUGACUGAAUGCUUGGAAAAUCAUCUACAACAGUCACCAUUUAAACAAAGAGCUGUGCAAGAGACACACGUCAUGCCAGAAUUUUCAAUCACGUGAGAGACGAAGGUUUUAAUCUAGGAACAUGUAUUCUUCUUCUUACACCUAGCCCAAAAGUGUAAGCACUACUAGCCAUUUUGAGAAAAUAAAAUCUAACAAUAAAUGGAAUAAA